AUUGAACGCUAGCGGGAUGCCUUACACAUGCAAGUCGAACGGAGUGGCGAACGGGUGAGUAAUGUAUCGGAACGUGCACAGUAGCGGGGGAUAACUACGCGUAAGCGUAGCUAAUACCGCAUACUAUUGGCGCGGCCGAUAUCGGAUUAGCGAGUUGGUGGGGUAACGGCUCACCAAGGCGACGAUCCCUAGCUGGUUUGAGAGGACGACCAGCCACACUGGGACUGAGACACGGCCCAGACUCCUACGGGAGGCAGCAGUGGGGAAUUUUGGACAAUGGGCGAAAGCCUGAUACAGCCAUCCCGCGUGUACGAUGAAGGCCUUCGGGUUGUAAAGCACUUUUGGCAGGGAAGCGGUACCUGCAGAAUAAGCACCGGCUAACUACGUGCCAGCAGCCGCGGUAAUAC
rnacentral:rRNA from 1 species